ACAGACAAGGUGUGUACAAAUCACACCUUUAACUUAGCAAGAGGAAAAGCUCUCCCCUCAAAUGUUCCGUUGAGGAAUGUUUCUUUAAAAUGAGAAAGACUGUAAAAUUAACAGAUGAUCACUAGACUGUGUAAAAUUUCCACCAUUCAAGCCAGGCGGUGGUGGUUCACGCCUGUAAUCCUAGCUACUCAGGAUGCUGAGAUCUGAGGAUCAUGGUUCAAAGCCAGCCCAGGA